rnacentral:rRNA from 1 species
GGCCAGACUCCUACGGGAGGCAGCAGUGAGGAAUAUUGGUCAAUGGGCGGAAGCCUGAACCAGCCAAGUCGCGUGAGGGAAGAAGGCCCUGCGGGUCGCAGACCUCUUUGGACGGGGAGCAAGGCCGCCGACGUGUCGGCGGAAGGAGAGUACCCGUAGAACAAGCAUCGGCUAACUCCGUGCCAGCAGCCGCGGUAAUACGUAGGGGGCAAGCGUUAUCCGGAUUUACUGGGUGUAAAGGGAGCGCAGGCGGUAUGGCAAGUCAGAAGUGAAAAUUAUGGGCUCAACCCAUAACCUGCUUUUGAAACUGUUUUUCUUGAGUGAAGCAGAGGCAAGCGGAAUUCCUAGUGUAGCGGUGAAAUGCGUAGAUAUUAGGAGGAACACCAGUGGCGAAGGCGGCUUACUGGACAGUGACUGACACUGAGGCUCGAAAGCGUGGGGAGCAAACAGGAUUAGAUACCCGCGUA